UAUAGCGAGGCUCUAACUUACUGAAACCCUGUCUCAGAAAAAAAAAAAAAAAAUGAAAAGGACUGGGGAUGUGGCUCAGUGGUUAAGCAUCCUUGAGUUCAAUCCCUGGUACCAAAAAUAAAAAAAGGCAUGUUCAUGAGAGUUCCCAUUGUUUACUAUUGGAACCUAAUUCUGGCCCACCUCUGCCUCUGCCCUCCUGACCCUAGUUGUCCUUCAGCUCCUCCCUCUACCCUUUCACCUUCCCUGGUCCCGUGAUGGUGAAAGCUCGAGAUGCUUGCCCAACCAUCGAGUGUACUGAGUUCUCCUUGGGGAUGAUGCUUUGCUCCUGGAUGGUGCUUCUCAGUAACUCAAGUGUCACAUCCUCCUAGUAGUCUUCCCUGGAUUUUUCUUUCCCAGCCUCCUGGACCCAUCCCUUCUGUAAUUUUGUAUGUGUUUCACCAUGGCAACUUGUUUAUUUUCUGUCCCCCAAUAGAGUAGUGCUUGAUAGUUAGCCGGCCCCUCAGGGAUGUUGGCCAAAUCAGUAAUUAAUGAAAUGAGAUACUGCUUCUGAGUGUCCAUGGCAGAGGAGCAAGUCCAUCAAGAGAAGCUAGAACUAAGACUACUGCUGCUGGUUCUAGGGAAGAAGGAGUCACCCACUCCAUCAACAUUUCCUUGGCUGCCCCAAUUGCAGGAAUAUUCAAGUUGGACACCUGUAUGCAUUGAGCUCAAGGACCCCCAGAGUGGAGCUGGUGCCAAUGGCUUGUUGCUCCUACCCUCUUGUGGGCCUUUCCAGGGGCGUAGGGACAGGUUUGGGGACACUGCUUCAUAGCAUCCCCAACAGAUCAUGGUCUGAGAGCAGUGUCUGGCUGGCCCCAGUGUAGAACAGAACUUGGAGACCAGGGCCAAGCAGUGGGCCAUGGAAUUCACUGAGAACCCAGUUAGAGGCUGGAAAUGAAGCAGGUGGUCUCUGAAAAUCCCCACCCCCUUCCCAUUCAUUGCCUGGCAUGCACGAGCCUUGGAUUCCAUCCCCAGCACCUACAAAAUAAAUAAAUAAAUAAAAAUAAAAACAAAU
rnacentral:lncRNA from 1 species